rnacentral:rRNA from 1 species
CCUACGGGAGGCAGCAGUGGGGAAUAUUGGUCAAUGGACGAGAGUCUGAACCAGCCAAGUAGCGUGAAGGAUGACUGCCCUAUGGGUUGUAAACUUCUUUUAUAUGGGAAUAAAACGUUCCACGUGUGGGAUUUUGUAUGUACCCUAUGAAUAAGGAUCGGCUAACUCCGUGCCAGCAGCCGCGGUAAUACGGAGGAUCCGAGCGUUAUCCGGAUUUGUUGGGUUUAAAGGUAACGUAGGUGGAUUGUUAAGUCAGUUGUGAAAGGUUGCGGCUCAACCGUAAAAUUGCAGUUGAAACUGGCAGUCUUGAGUACAGUAGAGGUGGGCGGAAUUCGUGGUGUAGCGGUGAAAUGCGUAGAUAUCACGAAGAACUCCGAUUGCGAAGGCAGUUCACUGGACUGCAACUGACACUGAGGCUCGAAAGUGUGGGUAUCAAACAGGAUUAGAUACCCUGGUAGUC